CUGGCGUUUGUGCUUCUAUGCGUCCAUACAUCAGUAGAUGAGCGUAUAUUAUGUAUGGUAUAUUACGUAUUUUACUAAUAUCUGACAAACGCAGACAAAUAGACGUGUGAACAGUGAAAACAUACCUUGGAUUAGAGUGGGUUAAAUAUAAAUGUUGAAUCUUAACCUGCAAAAACUUGAUCACUAUUAUUUGCUACCUUUUUAUAUUAAUUUCAAUUAAUUCUGAUGUCUGAUUUUGGUAUUUCUCAUAUGUAUAAUUACUUUUUUUAUGGUUUCAAAAUAUGAUGGUACAUUACAGAAUAUAUGUUUGUUUGUUGCAUUAUCCUAUUCUGAGGAUUUGGAAUAAUAGAGCAAAUAAUAUGUGAUGUUAAAUAUGCUUCUUUGAGAAUACUGGUUUUUCCUGUCUAAAGAGUAGUUAAGAAAAAUAGUAAACAAUAAGAAGUUCUUAAUAAAAACGAUAAUUACAGAUGUAAGAAUGUACAGAAGUGCUAAGUAUAAUCGAUAAAUUAAAAUGAAGUUGUCAACAAUAUUGAGUUAACAUCUUCAAGCAUGUCAAAAUAAAAAUAAAAGGGAACCCAGAUGUUUACUUA